GCAAUAGCCAAGAAGGCUUAUACUCUGAAAAAAUAUUAUGUGCCCACCCAGUAGAAGAACAUUCAAUGUCAGAAUUACCGCACCAGCUGCAAGAACAGCGAAAGCGACAGCAAAGACUUCCGACUUCUUCACAGAUGCAGACCACGAGAGGGUGAGCCCCAGGAACACAAUAAAGAAGAACGGACCCCACAGAUCCCAAUCCCGCAGCGCCUU
rnacentral:misc_RNA from 1 species